UACGUAGGGUGCGAGCGUUGUCCGGAAUUAUUGGGCGUAAAGAGCGUGUAGGCGGCCACACAGGUCAGCUGUGAAAACUCGAGGCUCAACCUCGAGACGUCGGUUGAAACCGUAUGGCUAGAGUCCGGAAGAGGAGAGUGGAAUUCCCGGUGUAGCGGUGAAAUGCGCAGAUAUCGGGAAGAACACCCGUGGCGAAGGCGGCUCUCUGGGACGGUACUGACGCUGAGACGCGAAAGCGUGGGGAGCGAACAAG
rnacentral:rRNA from 1 species